AUUGAACGCUGGCGGCAUACUUUACACAUGCAAGUCGAACGGUAACAGGCCGCAAGGUGCUGACGAGUGGCGAACGGGUGAGUAAUGCAUCGGAACGUGCCCAGUCGUGGGGGAUAACGCAGCGAAAGCUGCGCUAAUACCGCAUACGAUCUACGGAUGAAAGCGGGGGACCGUAAGGCCUCGCGCGAUUGGAGCGGCCGAUGUCAGAUUAGGUAGUUGGUGGGGUAAAGGCUCAUCAAGCCAACGAUCUGUAGCUGGUCUGAGAGGACGACCAGCCACACUGGGACUGAGACACGGCCCAGACUCCUACGGGAGGCAGCAGUGGGGAAUUUUGGACAAUGGGCGCAAGCCUGAUCCAGCAAUGCCGCGUGCAGGAAGAAGGCCUUCGGGUUGUAAACUGCUUUUGUACGGAACGAAACGGUCCUGGUUAAUACCCGGGGCUAAUGACGGUACCGUAAGAAUAAGCACCGGCUAACUACGUGCCAGCCGCCGCGGUAAUAC
rnacentral:rRNA from 1 species